rnacentral:rRNA from 1 species
CGUAGGUGGCAAGCGUUGUCCGGAUUUAUUGGGCGUAAAGCGAGCGCAGGCGGUUCUUUAAGUCUGAUGUGAAAGCCCACGGCUUAACCGUGGAAGGUCAUUGGAAACUGGGGAACUUGAGUGCAGAAGAGGAGAGUGGAAUUCCAUGUGUAGCGGUGAAAUGCGUAGAUAUAUGGAGGAACACCAGUGGCGAAGGCGACUCUCUGGUCUGUAACUGACGCUGAGGCUCGAAAGCGUGGGAGCAAACAGGAUU